CGACUCUUAGGGCAAACCCAUUGAGAAGUGGGGGCGCAAAAUGACAGUACCUAGUUAACUUUAGGACGUUCAAUUUAGGUAGGCUGCAUUGCUGAG
rnacentral:ncRNA from 1 species